CAUGGGGGCAUCCUCGCUGGGAGCGGUACACACAAGAUUUGCCCACGCUGGCGUAUGUCUCAGCCCCAAUCCUGAAAAUCAAAUGGGGCACCGUCUGACCUCACAGGGAGGCACAGGUGGACCGCGCGUGGUGGUAAGCUGAGUCACCGCUAGAAGGGGUCUUCGAGCAGUCUUAUCGGCGGAAGUCCCAACCCAGGCAGCUCUUCUGGCCAGAGUCCAGGUGGGAGGAAAAGACGGGGGCCUCACACAUGGACAGAGGUGCUGCCACCCCGACCACAUACCAAGCCCUGGAGCCUGCAGAAGAGCCGAGGGCCCCUUCCUAGUCAGAGCCAUCUCGUGUUCCUGUGCACCAGAGUCCCCUUGGUCUGCGUCCCUGGGUCCCCUGGAGUAGGAGUGCUGCUGAGGGACUGGAGGGCUCAGGCCCAGCCUGUCUGGGCUGUGCAGGGGAAAGAGCAGUAGGCAGCCAAGAGCUCUGGGCCUCUUUGGGGGGCCGAUCAGCCAGUGCUCUUAGGGGAGGCAGGCCAUCCAGCUCCCACCUCAGCAGUCUCCAGGGCAAGGUCAGCCCAGGGGUGCCCCUAAGGUCACCACCACUCAAGGCCAGACACAAAACUAAACUCAAACCCAGGUCUCAGGUGUGACUGGGCAGAGUUUUGUUUUCUCCUGAAGGCCAGAGACCCUGAGCUACUGUCCCACCUCUGGGCUGUGUGGGCUCCCUGAUUUCUGUUCCUAGGGACUUCCUGGAGGCCUGGGGCCACAGGAAGUUCAGUCUCCUUCUGCCUGCAGCCACCAAAUACGGGGAAAGCCAGAUGCCACCUGGCACUGAGCACCCACAGCAAGAAGUCAGGAACUUGCAGAACCUGGGACAUGCAUGCGACAGCAGAG
rnacentral:lncRNA from 1 species